UUUCAGGCUCUCUGUCCCAACGACGAUGGGCUCCAGCUCCAGCACCAUUGGCCCCAGAGGUGCAGCAGCUCUGAGGGGUACCUGGCCAAGGUCCUGCAGCAAGUUGAACCCAGGUCCCCUGAUUCAAGUUCCUGGACUCUUCCAGCUGCGCCCCAUCCAGCUCAGGGUCAAGUGUGGUGGGAGGGCAAGGGGUUGCACUCAGUCAAGGUCACAGCUCUCCAAGCCCUCAGCACAUUGUUAAAGAAAGCCAUUCUGAGUACCCUCAGAUCAGGGAAGUGCCCCUCUUCUCGGGGAAGAGAGUGGAGUAUGCAGCUGCCCCAGUUCUCAAGAGCAGCGCCCUUGAGCUGGGGGUUCAAGAGGAAUGCGACUCUGCAGCACCGUGUCCUGCCUGUCUGAGCACAGGGUUGAGGGUACUCCUGGGCUUGGUCCCAUUUAGUCCUCAAAUUGGACAAUGGAGACAGAUUAGUUUAUCCCUACUUUAAAGAUGAGGAAACUGAGGUUCAGAGAGCUGGCUGGCAGAGAUCUCACGGCUUGGAAGGGGCAGAAUAAGGACUGAGCCUAUGCUUCUGCCUCCACCCCGCUACCAGGCAGGAGUUAACAAUAACAAACCUACAAUAAAUAACACUGUUGUUCGUGUUGA